AUUGAACGCUGGCGGCAUGCUUUACACAUGCAAGUCGAACGGCAGCGCGGGCUUCGGCCUGGCUGCGAGUGGCGAACGGGUGAGUAAUGCAUCGGAACGUGCCCAGUAGUGGUGGAUAGCCCGGCGAAAGCCGGAUUAAUACCGCAUACGACCUGCGGGUGAAAGCGGGGGACCGAAAGGCCUCGCGCUAUUGGAGCGGCCGAUGUCGGAUUAGCUAGUUGGUGGGGUAAAGGCUUACCAAGGCGACGAUCCGUAGCUGGUCUGAGAGGACGACCAGCCACACUGGGACUGAGACACGGCCCAGACUCCUACGGGAGGCAGCAGUGGGGAAUUUUGGACAAUGGGGGCAACCCUGAUCCAGCCAUGCCGCGUGCGGGAAGAAGGCCUUCGGGUUGUAAACCGCUUUUGUUCGGGAAGAAAUCCUCUGGGCUAAUACCCCGGGGGGAUGACGGUACCGGAAGAAUAAGCACCGGCUAACUACGUG
rnacentral:rRNA from 1 species